GGGGUUGUUGCUCAGUGGUAGAGUGCUUGCCUAGGAUGUAUGAGGCACUGGGUUCAAUUCUCAGCAUCACCU
rfam:Ictidomys tridecemlineatus contig057731, whole genome shotgun sequence.